UUGAGGCGGUUUGCGCCUGGCGAACAAUCAUCCUAUCUUGCCUCGCAUUUGUGCUCCUUGGCCUUCCAGAGCCUUCAUUUCAUUGGCAAUUCCCUUGUAGCAACCAUUGUUGCACAACAUUGUCUGUACGCUGCGUGUAGCAGCCUAUUGCUCGGUACAAUCACUCAGCUUCAAGUAACCCUACAAUGCGACCAUGUUCAAAGUCACUUAGAUAUCUGUAAGAUCUUCGAUAUCAUCGUAAGCGCAUCUUUAGUUGCUUCUUUACAGAAUUACAAUGAUGGCAACAAAAAACGAUAAAUUUUCCGCCUCUGUUACUGGUUUUAUACUUUGCGAAUUGUGCACUAGAAAUGCGCGUUAUAAUCGCAAUUCCUGUUCAUUUGCCUUGAAACCUUGAUUAUUUGCAUGUUCAUUCAAGAUGUUUUUGCGUACUAAACUUUGUCAUGAUUGCAAAAGUCCUUCGUGGUGCUUCAAUUUUUUUGCAAAAAAAGUUUUUUUUUUUUUUUUUUCAAUUUAUAAUUUUUACUUUUUUUUGCAUUUUGUAUUAGAUUUGUAUUUUGUUAGCUUGUCACUAGCUGAAAAUUUUAAGACCUAUCAUAUCAAUUUGCUUUAGAUUUGUCUAGGGUUCUAUUUUCAUUGUUCUUUCUGAUUCUUUUUUCAUGGAUGUUUUAUAUUUUUGAUUUUCACUUAGCUUAUUUUGGUUUAUUAUGUUUAACUACGUUUUUUUUUUUUCUUUUACUAUUCAUUUUAAAGUGUCAUAAUGAAUGAGGGAUAUUUUGUGCCCUUGGGGAAGAGGGUAUGUCUCGGUUGUCCCCAAAUGCAUGAUUUUUCUGUAAAACCAGCUCAAACCUUUAGACAGAUAGAGUGCAAUUUUAUAUAAAUUUAAUUUGUAUACAUUAUAUUCUUUAGUAUUACAGGAGGAGCACAGAAAUAAUCUUUGAUUUCAAAAGAAUACAAGUUUAAUAUUGUCAGAGCUAGACAGCAAUUUAGCUGCAAUCAUACAUUUUGAAGUGUUAGUGUAAUGCAGUUGACAGCUGCACCAAUGCUUUUCUCAUCAUUUAGGAUUGUGGAUAGUAUAGUUACAUAGAACCUUGCCCUUCACCAGCCCCAAAAGACUAAACUUGUACAUGGGGAUUAAGUCUAGUGAUUAUAGGGACCACUUGCAAAAAAUGCUGAUCAUUGGGUUCAAUUCAUCCUUCCAUUAGUUUGUCAGGUUAUCACUGGAAAGCUGCAUAUGGAUCACAACACUUUAUUUUCACAAGUUAUAGCUUGUACCAGCUACUUUGUGAAGUAAAUGCCAUUUUUGACAUCACUGCCAUGUAAUUGCUUAAGUGAGAACUAACAGUUCUGGAAAGAAGUAUGUGAAAAUCAUAUUUGAGUUAACUGAGCUUUGAGCAAAAUUUCAUCAAAAUGUUUCCGUAACUAUCACAUGGCAUUUUGAAAUCAGGAACUAUUUUUGUGCUCGCCCUGUAUGUUACGUUAUAUGCAAAUUCAGUUCUUGAUAAUGUCUUUGAAAGAGAAGUUUAAUGGUUGAGAUAAAAUCGUUUUUCAAAAGUUUACAUGUUUGUUUUUGUUGGUGUAUUUCUCACUGUAUGCAAUGCAUGUCUGUCAUAGUUAUGAGUUACAACAUACCAGAAAAGUAUAUUAAUAUAAAUUUUGUUGUCAGUACAUUUUGUGACUGUAUUUGGUGCUAUUUUUCAAUGAUUUCUAGGAGGACUGUAUUAGAACAGCUGUGGCUCAAGCAGGGGAGCUAUGGAGUCCAUCUCUAAUGGCAAAUUAGAAUGCAGAGUAACUACAGAAGAAGAAUUACUAGAGUUAGCAAAGAAAGAGAUUCUUAGGGAUACCAAAUGUGCAUCAAUGAGAGCAGAACAGUUUGGAGCCCAUAGCUGGGCUAAGCCACAGAAAUAUGUUCCAAGUAAACGUUUUCUGAAAUAUAUGUUAAUCAAUGCUUCUAAAAGUAGCCACACAGGAAGAUUUAAUCCUGAAUGGAAAGGAAAAGAUAAAAGUUCUAAGAGGACAUCAGAAACUGCAAAACAAUCUUUUUCUAAACAUUAUGCUGGAAAAAGUAAAGAAAGGCAUUUCAGAAAUUAUUCUAAUAAACAGUCACCUCAUCGAAAUGAGAAAACAGCUUCAAGACAUAGACACAGUGAUAAGAAACACUCUUCUAAUUUUUCACAAAGGAAGCACAAUAAGAGUGAAAGUCAAAAUAUAGUGUGAUAAAUGUAUUUUAGUUCUAAAUAAAACUAUUUUGCUUAAAAGAAAGUAGUAGUUGCAAAAAAUAAGAAUAGAGGAAAAAAACUUUUCUAAUUCUUCGGAAAAUGAAGUAAAAGUGAAUCAUUAAAUGAUGUAAUUUUGCUCUGUGAUAAAUAUACUUUUGUUUUAAAUCAACAGGACUUUUUUUAAAUCGACAUCCUUCAUAAAUGGAUGACUAAUAUUUCAAAAAACAGUAUCUCUAACUGGUGGUCCCUGGAAUAAGGUCAUUAUUUUUUCCUCAAGUUUUAUCUCCCACUUGGAAUGUUUUCAUAGUUUGUUUAUUUUUAGUUUAAGUAAGUUACUUAUAAUUGCAAGCCAGCACUGCCUAACACUAAUGAUGGCUGAAAUCAUAAAAAUGUAUUUAAUAGAAACUGUAUUAAUUUAUGAUUUUUUUUAAUAUAAUGACAGCAACAAAGGAUUAUUUUGACACUGUAUUUCACAUUUUAUGUAUAACAUUUCAAAUUUUAUUUAUAAAGGUAACAAGAAAUAAUAACAUUAGUAUGAUAUUUGACUUUGAAUUUGAAAAAAUAAUGCAUCAAUGUCUGGUUCGAUAAGUGGUUGCUGUUCUCAGGGAGUUCUCAAGGUGUUCAUCCGAUAUUCCAAUUCUAACUUUACUCUUAGUAUUAGUCUAAUUUUAUUCUUAGUGUUAUCUAAUGUUAACAUGAAUAAGAUAUGAGUGUGUAAUGAAGCUUAUCUGUCUCUCUAGGUAGAUAUGGAUUAUAAAAGUCCAACAGAGACAUGGUCAAAUUUUUCUUUAAGCUGAAUCUCAGAUUGCAAUUCUAUGCAUUGUAUUUGAAAAUUUGCUGACAGCAUAUCUGUAUUGACUAUGAAUAAAGUCACAAAAAUACAAAAAUUUA